rnacentral:rRNA from 1 species
AUUGAACGCUGGCGGCAGGCCUAACACAUGCAAGUCGAGCGGUAGCACAGAGAGCUUGCUCUCGGGUGACGAGCGGCGGACGGGUGAGUAAUGUCUGGGAAACUGCCUGAUGGAGGGGGAUAACUACUGGAAACGGUAGCUAAUACCGCAUAAUGUCGCAAGACCAAAGUGGGGGACCUUCGGGCCUCAUGCCAUCAGAUGUGCCCAGAUGGGAUUAGCUAGUAGGUGGGGUAACGGCUCACCUAGGCGACGAUCCCUAGCUGGUCUGAGAGGAUGACCAGCCACACUGGAACUGAGACACGGUCCAGACUCCUACGGGAGGCAGCAGUGGGGAAUAUUGCACAAUGGGCGCAAGCCUGAUGCAGCCAUGCCGCGUGUGUGAAGAAGGCCUUCGGGUUGUAAAGCACUUUCAGCGGGGAGGAAGGCGGUGAGGUUAAUAACCUCAUCGAUUGACGUUACCCGCAGAAGAAGCACCGGCUAACUCCGUGCCAGCAGCCGCGGUAAUACGGAAGGUGCGAGCGUUAAUCGGAAUUACUGGGCGUAAAGCGCACGCAGGCGGUCUGUCAGUCGGAUGUGAAAUCCCCGGGCUCAACCCUGGGAACUGCAUUCGAAACUGGCAGGCUAGAGUCUUGUAGAGGGGGGUAGAAUUCCAGGUGUAGCGGUGAAAUGCGUAGAGAUCUGGAGGAAUACCGGUGGCGAAGGCGGCCCCCUGGACAAAGACUGACGCUCAGGUGCGAAAGCGUGGGGAGCAAACAGGAUUAGAUACCCUGGUAGUCCACGCCGUAAACGAUGUCGAUUUGGAGGUUGUGCCCUUGAGGCGUGGCUUCCGGAGCUAACGCGUUAAAUCGACCGCCUGGGGAGUACGGCCGCAAGGUUAAAACUCAAAUGAAUUGACGGGGGCCCGCACAAGCGGUGGAGCAUGUGGUUUAAUUCGAUGCAACGCGAAGAACCUUACCUGGUCUUGACAUCCACAGAACUUUCCAGAGAUGGAUUGGUGCCUUCGGGAACUGUGAGACAGGUGCUGCAUGGCUGUCGUCAGCUCGUGUUGUGAAAUGUUGGGUUAAGUCCCGCAACGAGCGCAACCCUUAUCCUUUGUUGCCAGCGGUUAGGCCGGGAACUCAAAGGAGACUGCCAGUGAUAAACUGGAGGAAGGUGGGGAUGACGUCAAGUCAUCAUGGCCCUUACGACCAGGGCUACACACGUGCUACAAUGGCAUAUACAAAGAGAAGCGACCUCGCGAGAGCAAGCGGACCUCAUAAAGUAUGUCGUAGUCCGGAUUGGAGUCUGCAACUCGACUCCAUGAAGUCGGAAUCGCUAGUAAUCGUAGAUCAGAAUGCUACGGUGAAUACGUUCCCGGGCCU